CCCCGCACACGCCCGCCCCGCCAGCCACCCAGUAGCCGCCGCCACCGCCGCCGCCGCCGCCCCCUCGCGUCGCUCCUCUCUCCUUGGGGCUGGCGGCCAGUCCUCCCUUUGCCGUGGGCACGAACAGGCCUUCCAUCAAUCCCGCGAUACGGAAACCGAUGCGAGACUCGUCCAUUUCACCGGCGGGAGUGUUCGGUGCGGUGCUUGUGUUGCGCGCUAAGGACAGGACCGGGUAGUGGUGGUGGUGGUGCGUGCUUGCGUGCGUAUCUGUAAGUGUGUGAGUGACAAACAGUUCGUAACUCCGCCACGUGCAUCCAGUGACUUCUGAUGAAGAGGCUAACACAUGAAGGACACUCGACGAAGCGCAACUCGGCAUGAUGACGGGAACACACGUCCACCGGCUUAACAUUCCCGCUUCUAAGGACGCCAGUGAUUCCUGAUUAACCGACAAAGCGCACACGGACCAGAUAACACGAACCCGCUCACUCACACACACGCACGACUGGAGAAGUGGCGGUGGUGGUGGUGGUGGUGGCGAAGUUAGUGUGUGUACGUGUGUGCUUUAUGCUCGUCGAUCCACGUCAGUGAGUGAGUGAUUCAAUGAAACUUGUGUCGGUGAAGGAAAGCAGAGGUGACGGACACAGAAAGACUCUCUCUCUCUCUCUGCGUCAUUGAAGUACUGCACCCAGAACUCCUCCCUACUCCUAUCCUCUCCCCUCCCCAUCCUCCCCCUCCAUCUCCCUCUCCUUCUCUUCGUCCUCUUCCUCCUCUCUCAAUACCAUGGACGCCCGAAACUGUGAGGCGAGCUUAGGCGCCGCGAGAGAGCCAGCCGUUCCCGACAGCUCCUGAGGGGGAAGAUAAAGUGAGAGAGAGAGAGAGAGAGAGAGAGAGAGAGAGAGAGAGAGAGAGAGAGAGAGAGAGAGAGAGAGAGAGAGAGACUGAGCACCGAGCGGAUGUCUGAAGAGGAGUCAGCACGGGAGGAGGCGUUGUCCUGGUUGGCCCUGC